rnacentral:rRNA from 1 species
GUGAGGAAUAUUGCGCAAUGGAGGCAACUCUGACGCAGCCAUGCCGCGUGCAGGAAGAAGGCGCUACGCGUUGUAAACUGCUUUUAACCGGGAAGAAACCCCAGGACGUGUCCUGGGUUGACGGUACCGGAGGAAUAAGCACCGGCUAACUUCGUGCCAGCAGCCGCGGUAAUACGAAGGGUGCAAGCGUUAUCCGGAUUCAUUGGGUUUAAAGGGUGCGUAGGCGGAGCGUUAAGUCAGUGGUGAAAUCCUGCAGCUUAACUGUAGGCUUGCCAUUGAUACUGGCGCUCUUGAGUGCGCUUGAAGUGGGCGGAAUGUGCCGUGUAGCGGUGAAAUGCUUAGAUAUGGCACAGAACACCAAUUGCGAAGGCAGCUCACUAAGGCGAUACUGACGCUGAGGCACGAAAGCGUGGGGAUCGAACAGGAUUAGAUACCCCUGUAGUCC